rnacentral:rRNA from 1 species
UACGGAGGGUGCAAACGUUGCUCGGAAUCAUUGGGCGUAAAGCGCACGUAGGCGGCGCGUUAAGUCGGGUGUGAAAGCCCUGGGCUCAACCCAGGAAGUGCAUUCGAAACUGGCGCGCUUGAAUAUGGAAGAGGGUCGCGGAAUUCCCGGUGUAGAGGUGAAAUUCGUAGAUAUCGGGAGGAACACCAGUGGCGAAGGCGGCUUUCUAGGAUAUACCUGACACUGAGAAGCGACAGCUAGGGGAGCAAACAGG